rnacentral:tRNA from 1 species
GUGCCCAUAGCUCAGUUGGAUAGAGCAACGGCCUUCUAAGCCGUCGGUCGGGAGUUCGAAUCUCUUUGGGUACGCCA